AACAUAAAGAGAAGGAGAAAGAGAAGGAAAAGGGGAAGGAGAAGAAGAAGAAAGAUCAUUCAGUGAUGUGGCCGAGGAAGGUCUCUCUUCUUCAAGAAAAAUUGAGGUGUCCAUCUCAUCGUUGGUUCCUAAUGUAAAGGUUUGCAAAGGAGAAGAAGUUUUGGAGGGGAGUUCUCGAACAUACGGCAAAUUUAAUUUUUCAUAUUUUGUAGUCCCUAAUUCUCUAAAAGAAGGAGAAGGAAAA
rnacentral:ribozyme from 13 species